AUAUUUUUUUCAAACCGCUCGCUCGCGUAAAAAUAUCAAAACUGAUUUUAAUAAAUUGAUAACAGAACUAUACGCACGAGUAUAUUAUGGAUACACACAUUCAUAUAAUAUUAUGUAGGUAGGUAUAGAGGUAAUUAUUUGAAAAAUUCUCAUUGAAGAUAAUAAUAAUAAUAAUACGGAAACAUUAUAAAAACACGGGUGACUCGUGUUGUUACCUGAAACCGCGUAGGUAUCUAAUAAUUUGUUAAAGAUGUUCGAAAGUUUUUUUUUUUUUUUUUUUUUUCUAAGCGGUUGUAUUCAUACUGUUACAUUUGGGUACAAUUUCAGUUCAAUUUUAGAACAUCCGUAAUAAUAU